UACGUAGGGGGCAAGCGUUGUCCGGAAUCAUUGGGCGUAAAGCGCGUGUAGGCGGCCUUGUAAGUCCGUUCUGAAAGUCCGGGGCUCAACCCCGGGAGGCGGAUGGAUACUGCAAGGCUCGAGUACGGAAGAGGCGAGUGGAAUUCCCGGUGUAGCGGUGAAAUGCGCAGAUAUCAGGAAGAACACCCGUGGCGAAGGCGGCAUCCUGGACCGGUAUUGACGCUGAGGCGCGAAAGCUAGGGGAGCAAACGGG
rnacentral:rRNA from 1 species